AUGCAGUGGUACUUGGUGGCCGCGCUCCUCACCGUCCUCACCAGCUCCCAGGGUAUAUUGACUACUCUCUCCCAGAGCAAUGGCAAGUAUAAGUAUGACUAUGCAACCAUUCCCUUCCUAGCAGAACUCUUCAAGUUGUCUGUAUCAAGUUUCUUCCUUUGGAACAAAUGCAAGUCUUCAUCUCCACCAAGGAUGACAAAGGAGUGGAGGAGUGUGCGGCUAUAUCUUGUUCCUUCAAUAAUAUACCUCAUCCAUAACAAUGUGCAGUUCGCAACCUUGACCUAUGUUGAUCCAUCUACCUAUCAGAUAAUGGGGAACUUGAAAAUUGUCACAACCGGAAUCUUGUUCAGGCUUGUCCUAAAAAGGAAGUUAUCAAAUCUACAAUGGAUGGCGAUUGUUUUGCUUGCUGUUGGUACAACUACUAGCCAGGUCAAAGGAUGUGGAGAUGGACCAUGUGAUUCGCUUUUCUCAGCACCAUUACAGGGUUACAUGCUUGGUAUACUUUCUGCUUGUCUUUCAGCACUAGCUGGUGUCUACACAGAGUACUUGAUGAAGAAGAACAAUGAUAGUUUGUACUGGCAAAAUGUACAGUUAUAUACGUUUGGAGUUAUAUUCAACAUGGGGUGGCUAAUUUAUGGCGAUUUCAAAGCUGGAUUUGAGUUGGGUCCUUGGUGGCAGCGCCUAUUUAAUGGCUAUUCUGUCACAACAUGGAUGGUUGUGUUCAAUUUAGGGUCCACUGGUCUACUAGUAUCAUGGUUGAUGAAGUAUUCAGACAAUAUAGUCAAGGUGUACUCAACUUCAAUGGCUAUGCUAUUAACGAUGGUUUUAUCUAUAUACCUUUUCAGUGUGAAAGCAACAAUUCAGCUUUUCUUAGGCAUUAUCAUCUGCAUAAUUUCGCUGCAGAUGUAUUUUAUGCCUACCCACAUGCUUGUUGAAUUGCCACAAACAUUACCUGUGACAUCAAAGUAGGCUUAUGGCACUUUAGCUAACCUGAUCGGAGUGUAGAACACUGUUUAUCUAGGGACAAGAAUCUGUUUGGUUUAUCUGGGGGCAAGAAUCUGUCUGAUUGACCUGUUUGGGCAAAUUUGUGGCUGGAACCUCAACUGCUGUGGUUAGUUUCAUGAUGCAGAAAAGGUAAAAGAUGGGAGGCUGAUUGGUAUUGUUUUGUCUUUGGGAAAAGGAAAUGAAAGCAAACUUUUUGAGUUUUUUUUUUCAAAUAGUGCAAAACUGUCCAUUACUAAUAUCCAAAAGUGACAGUAUUGAUAGAGUAGUAGAUACGAAACUGGCAAGUACAACGAGUUGUGUCAUCUUUGCAAAAAGUGACACCGAUUAUUUUUUCCUUACAUUUUAUUUUCAUGUAGCUAUCUGUUCAGGAAAUAUUCAUAAUGAACAUGAUCGAGCACAUCCUCUUUAUGUGCAAAUAAUUUUUUUUUCGUGAAA